AGAGUUUGAUCCUGGCUCAGGAUGAACGCUGGCGGCGUGCUUAACACAUGCAAGUCGAACGAGCCUUCGGGCUAGUGGCGGACGGGUGAGUAACGCGUGAGAAUCUGCCCUCAGGAGGGGGAUAACGGCUGGAAACGGCCGCUAAUACCCCAUAUGCCGCGAGGUGAAAUGAGAAAUCGCCUGAGGAUGAGCUCGCGUCUGAUUAGCUAGUUGAUGGGGUAAGAGCCUACCAAGGCAUCGAUCAGUAGCUGGUCUGAGAGGAUGAUCAGCCACACUGGGACUGAGACACGGCCCAGACUCCUACGGGAGGCAGCAGUGGGGAAUUUUCCGCAAUGGGCGCAAGCCUGACGGAGCAACGCCGCGUGAGGGAUGAAGGCCUCUGGGCUGUAAACCUCUUUUCUCAAGGAAGAAGAACUGACGGUACUUGAGGAAUAAGCCACGGCUAAUUCCGUGCCAGCAGCCGCGGUAAUACGGGAGUGGCAAGCGUUAUCCGGAAUUAUUGGGCGUAAAGCGUCCGCAGGCGGUCUUGAAAGUCUGUUGUUAAAGCGUGGAGCUCAACUCCAUUUCAGCAAUGGAAACUAGAAGACUAGAGUGUGGUAGGGGCAGAGGGAAUUCCCGGUGUAGCGGUGAAAUGCGUAGAUAUCGGGAAGGACACCAGUGGCGAAGGCGCUCUGCUGGGCCAUAACUGACGCUCAUGGACGAAAGCCAGGGGAGCGAAAGGGAUUAGAUACCCCUGUAGUCCUGGCCGUAAACGAUGAACACUAGGUGUCGGGGGAAUCGACCCCCUCGGUGUCGUAGCCAACGCGUUAAGUGUUCCGCCUGGGGAGUACGCACGCAAGUGUGAAACUCAAAGGAAUUGACGGGGGCCGCACAAGCGGUGGAGUAUGUGGUUUAAUUCGAUGCAACGCGAAGAACCUUACCAGGGUUUGACAUCCUGCGAAUCUUUUGGAAACAGAAGAGUGCCUUCGGGAGCGCAGAGACAGGUGGUGCAUGGCUGUCGUCAGCUCGUGUCGUGAGAUGUUGGGUUAAGUCCCGCAACGAGCGCAACCCACGUCUUUAGUUGCCAGCAUUAAGUUGGGCACUCUAGAGAGACCGCCGGUGAUAAACCGGAGGAAGGUGUGGAUGACGUCAAGUCAUCAUGCCCCUUACAUCCUGGGCUACACACGUACUACAAUGCUACGGACAGAGGGCAGCAAACUCGCGAGAGCUAGCAAAUCCCAUAAACCGUGGCUCAGUUCAGAUCGUAGGCUGCAACUCGCCUACGUGAAGGAGGAAUCGCUAGUAAUCGCAGGUCAGCAUACUGCGGUGAAUACGUUCCCGGGCCUUGUACACACCGCCCGUCACACCAUGGAAGUUGGCCAUGCCCGAAGUCGUUACUCCAACCCUUGUGGAGGAGGACGCCGAAGGUGGGGCUGAUGACUGGGGUGAAGUCGCAACAAGGUA
rnacentral:rRNA from 1 species